ACGCGAUGGUACCACCUGAAUCCAUGCCGAACUCAGAAGUGAAACGUCGUCGUGCCGAUGGUAGUGUGGAGUUUCUCCAUGUGAGAGUAGGUAACUGCCAGGU
rnacentral:rRNA from 2 species